rnacentral:lncRNA from 10 species
UAAUUAUCCAUCUGGGUGAAAAUUGAGACAAUAUGCAUGGCCAAGCACUUGGACAAAUUUCAGGUGGAACUGAGACUUAAAAGGAAAAAAUGGAAAAUGGUAAGUUUGCCAGAAAAUAAGGGUGAAACAGUCUUAUGAAAUAUUGGGGGUUAGGAAGUCCUGUCUAAGCAGUUUAAAACCUACAAAUAGAAAAGAUUAUUUAGUUUGACUAUAAAAACAUUGGAAAUUUUUAUAUGGCAAUACACAGGGCAAAAAUGAUGAGACCAGGAAAAAUGUUUCCAACAUGACAAAAGUUAAUAUUACAGGUUGACUAUUCUAAUCCAAAUGUUUGAAAUCCAAAAUGUUCCAAAAUCCAAAACUUUUUGAGUGCCAACAUGAUGUUCCAAGGAAAUGCUUUUUGGAGCAUUUCAGAUUUUGGAUUUUCAGAUUCAGAAUGCUCAACUGUUUUAUAAUGCAAACAUUACAAAAUUGGAAAAAAAUGCAAAAUUCAAAACACUUUUAGUCCCAAGCAUUUCAAAUAGGGAGAUACUCAACCUGUAUUACUCUGUGAAGAACUCUUAGAAAUAUAAAAAAGGACCAAAUUAUCUUUUGCCUGUUUUUCUAUAAGGAAGUAAUAGAAUAAUUCAUGGAUAAAAUAUACAUGUCAAUAAGCAAUAGAAAGAUGUUUGGUGUAAAUAAAAGAAACAAAACUGUAA